AAUCUGUCCACUUAUCUCAAUUUACUAAAAGUGUUUGUUAAUACAUUAUUAUGACUGAAUUUUGCCCUCCUUACCUCCAUAAUUCAUAUGUUGAAGCCCUAACCCCAUCUGCGACUGUAUUGGAGACAGGGCCUAUAAAGAGGUGAUUAAAGUUAAAUGAGGUCAAGGAAGUAACUUCAGAGGAGGAUCUGAUGGAUAUGGAAGUGGUCGUGGAUUUGGGGAUGGCUAUAAGGGGUAUGGAGGAGGACCUGGAGGAAAUUAUGGAAGUGGAAAUUUUAAUAAUUUUGGAAAUUAUAAUCAGCAACCUACUAACUAUGGCUCAAUGAAGAGUGGAAACUUCGGUGGUAGCAGGAACAAGGGGGGACCAUAUGGUGGAGGAAACUAUGGUCCAGGAGGCAGUGGAGGAAGUGGGGGUUAUGGAGGGAGAAGCCAAUAUUGAGCUCGUUUCUAUUUACCAUGGGCUUCACUGUAUAAAUAGGAGAGGAUGAGAGCCCAGAGGUAACAGAACAGCUUCAGGUUAUCGAAAUAACAAUGUUAAGGAAACUCUCAUCUCAGUCAUGCAUAAAUAUGCAGACUACACCAGAGGAGAUGCAGAGAGCCAUUUUGUGAAUGGAUUGGAUUAUUUAAUAACAUUACCUACUGGGGAGGAAGGAUUGUAAAAAAAAAAAAGCCUUUGAGACAGUUUCUUAGCUUUUUAAUUGUUGUUUCUUUCUAGUGGUCUUUGUAAGAAUAUAGAAGCAGUCCUUCUUUGAUAAUGUUAAAUUUGUAAGUUUCAGUUGACAUGUGAAACCUUUUUUAAGAUUUUUCUCAAAGUUUAGAAAAGCUAUUAGCCAGGAUCAUGGUGUAAUAAGACAUAACGUUUUUCCUUUAAAAAAAAUUUAAGUGCGUGGGUAGAGUUUAAAAGCUGUUAUACAUUUAUAAUUUAAUAUAAUAAUUGUAAAGGAAAAAAAAUGUUAAGUGCGGUCAUAAGGGAGGAACCUUGAUCAAAUAGAACUGCUGUCCUUAUAAAAGAGGAAGAGAUACUAGAAUCUCUCUCUGUCUCUCUCUCUCUGCCUCAAGGACAGAGUGAGAAGGCAGCAGUCUGUAAGCCAAGAAGAGA
rnacentral:lncRNA from 1 species